CAAGUACUUCCUUAGUCCGGAAAUACUUGUCCGAGGAAUGAAUGUAUCUAAAUAUAUUUUAGUUCUAGAUACAUCCACUUGUAUCCAUUUCUACGACAAAUAUUUUCGGACGGAGGGAGUACUAG
rfam:Triticum aestivum genome assembly, contig: Triticum_aestivum_CS42_TGACv1_scaffold_212641_3AS